AACGAACGCUGGCGGCAUGCCUAACACAUGCAAGUCGAACGAGAACUUCGGGUCUAGUGGCGCACGGGUGCGUAACGCGUGGGAAGCUACCCUUAGGUUCGGAAUCACUCCCCGAAAGGGGUGCUAAUACCGGAUAAUGUCUUCGGACCAAGGAUUUAUCGCCUUUGGAUGGGCCCGCGUUGGAUUCGCUGGUUGGUAGGGUAAAAGCCUACCAAGGGGACGAUCCAUAGCUGGUUUGAGAGGAUGAUCAGCCACACUGGGACUGAGACACGGCCCAGACUCCUACGGGAGGCAGCAGUGGGGAAGAUUGGACAAGGGGCGAAAGCCUGAUCCAGCAAUGCCGCGUGAGUGAUGAAGGCCUUAGGGUUGUAAAGCUCUUUUACCCGGGAUGAGAAUGACAGUACCGGGAGAAUAAGCUCCGGCUAACUCCGUG
rnacentral:rRNA from 1 species